rnacentral:rRNA from 1 species
UGGGGAAUAUUGGGCAAUGGGCGAAAGCCUGACCCAGCAACGCCGCGUGAAGGAAGAAGGUUUUCGGAUUGUAAACUUCUGUCCUCAGGGAAGAAGGACGUGACGGUACCUGAGGAGGAAGCCCCGGCUAACUACGUGCCAGCAGCCGCGGUAAUACGUAGGGGGCGAGCGUUGUCCGGAAUGACUGGGCGUAAAGGGCGCGUAGACGGCUUUUUAAGUCUGGAGUGAAAGUCCUGCUUUCAAGGUGGGAAUUGCUUUGGAGACUGGGAGGCUUGAGUGCGGAAGAGGUAAGUGGAAUUCCCAGUGUAGCGGUGAAAUGCGUAGAGAUUGGGAGGAACACCAGUGGCGAAGGCGACUUACUGGGCCGUAACUGACGUUGAUGCGCGAAAGCGUGGGGAGCGAACAG